rnacentral:rRNA from 1 species
GAUGAACGCUGGCGGCGUGCCUAAUACAUGCAAGUCGAGCGAACAGACGAGGAGCUUGCUCCUUCGACGUUAGCGGCGGACGGGUGAGUAACACGUAGGUAACCUACCUAUAAGACUGGGAUAACUUCGGGAAACCGGAGCUAAUACCGGAUAAUAUUUCGAACCGCAUGGUUCGAUAGUGAAAGAUGGCUUUGCUAUCACUUAUAGAUGGACCUGCGCCGUAUUAGCUAGUUGGUAAGGUAACGGCUUACCAAGGCAACGAUACGUAGCCGACCUGAGAGGGUGAUCGGCUACACUGGAACUGAGACACGGUCCAGACUCCUACGGGAGGCAGCAGUAGGGAAUCUGCCGCAAUGGGCGAAAGCCUGACGGAGCAACGCCGCGUGAGUGAUGAAGGUCUUCGGAUCGUAAAACUCUGUUAUUAGGGAAGAACAAACGUGUAAGUAACUGUGCACGUCUUGACGGUACCUAAUCAGAAAGCCACGGCUAACUACGU